rnacentral:rRNA from 1 species
ACGGAAGGCAGCAGUGGGGAAUAUUGGGCAAUGGGCGCAAGCCUGACCCAGCAACGCCGCGUGAAGGAAGAAGGCUUUCGGGUUGUAAACUUCUUUUGUGAGGGACGAGAAGAAGACGGUACCUCAUGAAUAAGCCACGGCUAACUACGUGCCAGCAGCCGCGGUAAUACGUAGGUGGCGAGCGUUGUCCGGAUUUACUGGGUGUAAAGGGCGUGUAGGCGGGAUGGCAAGUCAGAUGUGAAAUCCAUGGGCUCAACCCAUGAACUGCAUUUGAAACUGUCGUUCUUGAGUAUCGGAGAGGCAAGCGGAAUUCCUAGUGUAGCGGUGAAAUGCGUAGAUAUUAGGAGGAACACCAGUGGCGAAGGCGGCUUGCUGGACGACAACUGACGCUGAGGCGCGAAAGCGUGGGGAGCAAACAGGAUUAGAUACCCUGGUA